rnacentral:rRNA from 1 species
AUUGAACGCUGGCGGCAGGCCUAACACAUGCAAGUCGAGCGAGAGGCGGACGGGUGAGUAAUGUAUGGGGAACUGCCUGAUAGAGGGGGAUAACUACUGGAAACGGUGGCUAAUACCGCAUACUAUCGGAUGAACCAAUAUGGGAUUAGCUAGUAGGUGGGGUAAAGGCUAACCUAGGCGACGAUCUCUAGCUGGUCGGAGAGGAUGAUCAGCCACACUGGAACUGAGACACGGCCCAGACUCCUACGGGAGGCAGCAGUGGGGAAUAUUGCACAAUGGGCGCAAGCCUGAUGCAGCCAUGCCGCGUGUAUGAAGAAGGCCUUAGGGUUGUAAAGUACUUUCAGCGGGGAGGCGUUACUCGCAGAAGAAGCACCGGCUAACUCCGUGCCAGCCGCCGCGGUAAUAC